UGUGCCGAGACCUCGCCAGGAGCCCCGCUGUUGGUGUCCCUUGUGGGAUGCUGUUUGGCCAGGCUGAAAGGCUGCCUGUCUUCAGCACUUGGUCCAGAAUGAAGCCAUGGGAAACAGCUGGGCGGGAGGCCUUGUCUGCUGUCCUUGCUGCUCAAAAAUACCAGGACUUUUUAGCUGAUUUGCUUUGGGCCAUACCCAAGUGACCCUUCUCUCCUUCCUUCCUGCCCAGGAAGAAGAAAUGCCAUGAAGAUCUGAGCUGCAUCUGUUUGGAUGGGGACCACUGUCAGGAUUGCUGGCUCCACAAUAGGAUCUCAGCAACAUUGGUUACAUAUGUGGGUAAUGGAAAACAACUGUGCUUUGUGAGCUUGAAAUACAAUUAACUGAUGCUCUAAAAGGUGCAGAGAUGCAGAGCAAUAGAAGGGGAGGACGGGGAUGAGGUUUUGCUGUCCAUAUUUCACCAGAGCGUACACAGCAUAUAUAAGAACUCAAGGAGAAGCAGUGAGACAGGAGGCUGACUGCCAUGAGAUUUCACAGAAUCACAGAGGGGUUAAUGUGAAGGGAGCUCUGUGUGAAGGUCCAGCCCCCUGCACAAGCAGGGCCACCUCAAGCUAGUUGCCCAGGACCGUGUCCAGAUGGCUUUUGGAUAUCUCCAAGGUGGGAGCUGGUAUUUCUUCAAUUUAGGUGUAUCAGGCAACAUGUGCCUCUGAGAGACCACAAAUUAACAUGAUAGUCAAAACAAUGCAUUUUUUUAAACUUGCCUUUUAAAUCAGCUCCUGCUUAUGCUUGAUGUGAACAUCCACCCUCUAAGCCCAUGUCCCAGCACUACCACUUGGCUGGGACAGUGUAAUGAUGGGAUGCCCUCUCCCAGGUUUAACCAUGCAGGGUGGCCCUCAGCGAACCCUCUCGUCGGUCAGCGGGCGCAAAAACCUCAGGGCUGGCUCAGCCAUUGCUCUGGCAAACACCUACGUGGAGGGAUCACCUUCCUGGCCUCCCUGCUGCUCAUGGAGGCAUGAUUAGAGAAGAUGCUUGGCCUCUGGGUGAGUGAAGCUGGCUGAGAUGGGCCUUCCCUACAGCUGCCAGUGAGCUGGAUGGGCAUUUUCUCUCCAUGAAACUGGGUACCCCAAAGGUGGGUGCCCUAACACCAAAUGGCAUUGCUGCCCGGCUCCCUGCAGCCGACAGCAGCAGCCAGCAAGGGUGAAGGCACCUGUGUGGGGUGGCUUGUUCCUGAUUUAUGGAACAUUACCCCUAAAGAGGUCACAUUUCCCUGGCAGCCACAAGACCACAAGCUUUAAGCUGGGUUUUGCCUGAGAUGCAUAGUUUCCAACCCAGGAGCGCCUUCCAGGAGGUGGCUUGAGGCAACGGCUCCCCCAGGAGCUCCCCCUCCUCUCUGAGGAUCCCACCCCUUGGGACUCCUUUGGUGCCCCAUUUUUAUGUUUUACCAUGUGUGCUUAAUGUUGUCUGAUGCCUCCUGCAUCCCAUGAAGAGAGAUGAAAUCUUUGUGGAUUAAAUUUUCCUGACUGCUCUUUAAAAACAGCCUCUCUCAGGUGCUUUACAUCUGACGUACUUUGGAAAUAUUCCUCCUCCUCCUCUCUACUGUAAGAUUAAUCUCACCUACCCUUAGACACUAUUGUGUGAAGGUUGGCACCUCCCUUUCAAGAUGGGGGGAAAAAGGCUAUGCCCAUAGUGUGAGUCACCUGAUUUAUUUUAGACAACUACAUUAGGAUGAGAUGAACAGCACCUGAAAGUGCCAGCUUCUCUCCAUUAAGGAGAAAGGGAUUCCAAGCUCCCUGGUAUAAACAUUAGGUAUCAACAUGACAUGUAUAUGUGCCUGGGCAGAACACCUCUGUCCUCAUGCCUCACAUCCAGACUGUCGGUGGGAGAGAGAUCUGGUGGAAUUCUCCUCCACCAUGAAGGUCCUGGGUAGCUCAAAGAUUCCAAAACUACAGCCAUGUUUUACUUCAAGAUAUGAAAGUGUAAUGUAAUUACAGGUUGCUGAGUCUUUCCAGACUUCCAAGGCUUAUGUUCCUCUCCAAGUGUGGGCUGAAGGUUACAUGCAGUCUACUCAAAGGUCUGUUUUGCUGUUUCUGUUUUGUGUAUAUGAGAUUUAAAUAUUUUUUAAAAAAAGGUGUGCUGGUCUUAUUUUUAAAUUCUGGGGAUGCCGCUGUGCACGCUGAAUUCUAAGAAAAUCUUUUUGUCUGUUGCUGCUCCUGUGCUGAGAAAUACAUUGACUUGACUGAGCAUUUAUAAUUAAAAUAUCUGAUAUUCAAAGCUUCCAAAGACUCACCAAGUGACAGUCAGACACACCUGGCUGAAGCUGGA